rnacentral:rRNA from 1 species
CCAAGGGCGCGAUCCUUAGCUGUUGAGAGGAUGUUCAGCCACUUGACUGAACUGGCCAGACUCUACGGAGCAGCAGUAGGUAAUAUUGACAUGGAGCAUCUGAUCAGCAAUGCCGCUGGAGUGAUGAAGCCUAGGGUGUAAGCUCUUUAACCAGAGAUGAUAAUGACAGUAUCUGGGGAAUAAGCCCCGGCUACUUCGUGCAGCAGCCGCGGUAAUACGAAGGGGGCUAGCGUUGCUCGGAAUCACUGGGCGUAAAGGGUGCGUAGGCGGGUUUUUAAGUCAGAGGUGAAAUCCUGGAGCUCAACUCCAGAACUGCCUUUGAUACUGGGAAUCUUGAGUAUGGAAGAGGUGAGUGGAACUGCGAGUGUAGAGGUGAAAUUCGUAGAUAUUCGCAAGAACACCAGUGGCGAAGGCGGCUCACUGGUCCAUAACUGACGCUGAGGCACGAAAGCGUGGGGAGCAAACAGGAUUAGAUACCCUGGUAGUCCACGCCGUAAACGACGAAUGCCAGCCGUUAGUGGGUUUACUCACUAGUGGCGCAGCUAACGCUUUAAGCAUUCCGCCUGGGGAGUACGGUCGCAAGAUUAAAACUCAAAGGAAUUGACGGGGGCCCGCACAAGCGGUGGAGCAUGUGGUUUAAUUCGAUGCAACACGCAGAACCUUACCAGCCCUUGACAUGUCCAGGACCGGCACCAGAGAUGGAGCCUUCUCUUCGGAGCCUGGAGCACAGGUGCUGCAUGGCUGUCGUCAGCUCGUGUCGUGAGAUGUUGGGUUAAGUCCCGCAACGAGCGCAACCCCCGUCUUUAGUUGCUACCAUUUAGUUGAGCACUCUAAAGAGACUGCCGGUGAUAAGCCGCGAGGAAGGUGGGGAUGACGUCAAGUCCUCGUGGCCCUUACGGGCUGGGCUACACACGUGCUACAAUGGCGGUGACAAUGGGAUGCAAAAGGGCGACCUCUCGCAAAUCUCAAAAAGCCGUCUCAGUUCGGAUUGGACUCUGCAACUCGAGUCCAUGAAGUUGGAAUCGCUAGUAAUCGUGGAUCAGCAUGCCACGGUGAAUACGUUCCCGGGCCUUGUACACACCGCCCGUCACACCAUGGGAGUUGGUUCUACCUGAAGGCAGUGCGCUAACUGCAAGGGGGCAGCUGACCACGUAGUCAGCAACGAAA